CUUACGUACGCUUGCUCGCUUUGCCAUUCUUGGCGCUACAAUAGCUCUCUCCGUGCCGCUGCGGCGAAAGCGCAAUGACGGCAUCAAUGACGUCACUCGAGCCCGCAUCGUAAGAGGAUGGAAAGGGAAGGUCGUCUCCCCGCGUUGCUCAUAAGGCACGCAUCGGCUGGCAGUCGGACAUAGCGCCGAGCGGGGUCGGUGUGGUGAUAACUUACGCGAGAGCCAGUGUAUGUGUCGCAGGAGAGCCGUUGGAAGCCUUCCGUCGGUGUUUGCAGCGUACCACGCUCCAUCAGUUUCUUCUCUAAAGAAAGGAGGUUGAUCAGUGGCCUGUGCUCCUGCUCGUCCUUGGUUCCUGCGUCGUCUGUGGCCACCGUGUCAUUUCAACGGGCGCUCGCACUCGCUGCGAGUGCUUUGAAGCGUCUGAGCCCUAUACUGCCUGCUGCGUCUGCGCGCACUGCACGUGACUUCAACGAGGACCUUAUAAGGACAUACACAACGGCACUGAUUCAAUUUGGCGGCAGCAGUUGCGGUGGCAUGUCCUCCUCCUCAGAAAAUUCUUCUUGCCAACAGGCGCUAUCGCCAAGCCAGGUCAUGUCCGUGGCCCAGGCGUGUGCACUGGUGGUCAUGCUGCUCGUCGGGCUCGUCUGGUGCCGUCCACCUCUGUCCACAGCGGUACCGGUGACGCUGCGCCACGACGAAAUCGGCGACUGCCUGUGGGGCACUCACGUGCGCAAGCGUUGCCAGGACUGUGCCGUGCUCACCAAGAGCUCGAAGGCGUACCGCAUGUGUUGCUUCGACGACCCCGGAAACAGCACCGAGUCGGUGCGUGCUUACUGCGAGCGCUUGCUGGAUUACACCGUCUGACGGCUGCUUUCUGAAGAACGCGGAGAAAGCGGUUGACUGAACUCGUUUCCGGCUGCCUUGUGUCCCGAGACGUGCGUGCCAACAGAGCAAUUCCGUUUGAAAAACGAUGUGGGUUUUUGAGCACCGCUCGAAGCGAUAGCGCGGUUCGCGAGGGGAUGACGUGCGCUCACAAGCACCUUUUUUCUCUGGACGCGCGCUCACGAAAACAACCAGAUGUAAACGCAAACCAGAGUCGUCCUUUACAUGUAAUUUUGCCCUAUUUGGCCAAGUGACAUGCGUGCCACUUCGCAGACUAGAUUGACAUCACUUGUCAUGCGCAAUACCGCUGCCUGGUUUCUAGCCAUUGCUUAGCCUAGCGGCCCACGUGAUACAAAUGCGAUAUAGACAGCGAUGUCUAAUCGCAGACUAGACUUACGUCAGUAACAGUUAUUGGGAAGGCAGGUCCACGCCGUUGAUAUUAUUGCAUUGCUAAUUAAACACACAACGUUAGGGUUUUCUACCAGCCACCGGUUUUCUACCUAUCAUCACUGUGCGGAGAGUCGUGCUGCAGAUAUGAAAAAAAGCCCCUUGCUUUUUAGGAAGCGCCAACUUUUCUUCUCGAACUUCGCUGCGUGAAAUCUGCAAUAUUGUUAGCAAUAAGCAAAUUGGCGCGAUUUCGAGAGAAACAUUUGGCAGGCUCAAUUGUACUUCACAUCUACGUAUUACAAUACAUUCAAAAUUUCCAGGGAGCGGUUGUAUCAGUAAUCUAAGUGUUGUUUAGCGCGCGGUUAUGUAUAAGUUAUACGCUGGGGGCCUAUCAUGUUUGAAAUAACAAGGUUGAAAGCAAGCAGCCAAACAGGUGCACACACAGUUGCACAUGUGGCAGGCAAUAUGAGAUUGCGUUAUUACAGGGAUAGGGCCAUGAAACGAAGACAUUUGCUUACCCGCCACAAAGGGUUCAGCUUGGAGAAGCUUUUCAUUAAAGAGAGAAAUAAACUGCACAGCCAUGGAAUAAUCCAUUUAAGUACUGGCAGGACUUGGUCACUACGUGUUGGCAGCCUUCCGGCCGCUCACUAAUCUCACCGAAGUUCGGCAUCCUGGAAAAAAUUUUGGCAUUCUCUCUGUUUUAUCGGCUUUUCUUGGUGAUGAGUACGGGGUGUAACAGGCAACUUUAGCGAAGUUUGAAAUCUUCUGCUCUUAUACCUAAAAUAUCGGGAUUAAAAUCGUGUUGCUAGUUAAUCUAUGGAGCUGCACGCACUGAUUCUUGUAUGUUGCUAAUGUUAUGUUUAGACGAGAAUGUUUAUUUAGCUGAAAAUGUUGUAUUGCGCGGAAAACCUAAAUGAGGUGUACUUACAUAUAUCUUACAAAUGCCUGAUUUAUUAGAUGUUUAAUGUGACACUUGUUGCGCAAUAUUUUAUUCUACGUCAUAAAAAAGCCAGCGACAUAUGGAGAUAAAUGUCGCAAGACUGGCCGCCUGAGCUAAGGUACCAUGUAGCUCGAAAAUGUAUCGCUUAUAAACGAGCAGCGUUUUUAAUAGACUACGCUGCCGCUCAGAAAGUAACGCAGUGGUGAUGUCUUAUGCUUAUUCAAUGUACAUAUCGUUAUGAUGAACAGCCGCGUCGGCUUCAUUCGGUACUGAAAUAGAAAUCAAUGAUUUGUCGCAAUGCCAAAGACAGUGCCUGCAUUCUUAGCCUGCCAAUUUCUCGGCGCAGCUCGCUAGGCAGAAUUCAAGUGAACGCAUGGCACACGUGAGAAAACUGAAUCUCUGAUACCACUCCGCGUGUCGCGCAGAGUUUAAACAGCCGUUUUUUUUUUAAAUACAGAUUUUUUAUAAAAAUUAAUGAGGCAGCGAACAUUGUUUUUGCAGACAAAUUGUUAGGCAAGGGGGAUGUACUUUACCGCAAGAAACAUAAAUGUCAAAGGAAUAAUUAACAAGCAUUCAUUAAUCAACUCUCUUAUUAUUACAUUCGGGGAAAUUUUUCGAAUGUCUUAUUUGGAGGCAAUAUUAUUUUAAUGCAAAUCUAUUCUUUAAGAAUAGUAGAAAUAACACCUAAUUCGAGAUGUCAAUGAUCAAAUUCCAAAGCUCAGUCGAGGCAACAGACGGCUUCAGAAUAGCGUUUGCAAACAAACGUUAAUGCUUUAUCUUCGUAAAGACAUAGCGUUCUCCUGUGUGCGCAGGCUCCGAAUGUUAUUAGGUUUCUAUGAUUUACGUGCGCUUUGAUAACGCAAGUUAUUUAGCCAUUUCAACUUUCGUGAUGUUUGCCGACGCUGAGAAACAGCGUUGUCGAACAUGGCGGCACCAUUUCUCGUGGGGCUACCCUCUCACUCUCGUUGAUCGCCAGUUACUAUUGAAUUGAGCUUCCUCUAAACUCACCUGACCCGCUAAAUAUGAGCGUAGCACGUGGAAUUUCUGAGCUCAUCCGGCGAUUCCGGCGUCCGUACGCUAAGCAAGGCGCGUCCACAUAGCAACGACAGGAUGUUUGCUAAUGGACCGACUUGGAUGCCACUGCCACAAGGCACCAGACGGUCCUCCAUCUUGCAAGCUUUCCCUAGCGUUCCCGCACGGCAAACUAAGAGUCUUGAAGAGACGCGCGCCCUAACGUCUCGCAAGGGCGCUUGUGUUUACAGAGGCAGCCGCAUGCACGAUGCGACAUUGAAGCGACUGCACCCCCUCCCGGGCUGUCGUGUCGCGGCGUGGAGCAAUCCCACGAGCGUGACGUCGCGAAAGAUUUUCGUCGCCGCGCUGACUUCCGGGCGACAAGCGAUCUUUUCUGGCUGGCCAAAAAACCGGCGACUCGACAAGCGACAGCGGCGGAUCGCUCUCGGCAAAAUCUGUCGCUUGAAAAUCGCGUGCAUGUGGUUGCGCCUUAGCGUAUCGGCAAGCGCUAUUGUAAAACUGCGUAAUGUCGAGAGGGAGCGCGUCCCGCUGCACGCCAGACAGCGACGCCCCGCGAAGAAGUGUGAGGCCAAGUUUGAAUGAUGUAACUAGCCGCAUUAAGGCUCAAUCACGCUGGCGACUAGAGGAAAUCACGCGACCAAGAAAGUGACUGAAGGCGACCGAUGCCCACACCGAGCGCGACCUCCCGGCGCUUGUCGUUCUCAGCGAGAACUCUACAGGGAUCUAAGCAGUUCGCGCGCACUUGGCCGGUUCCGGCAACAGCCAUGGAUUUUGAUUCGAGCGAAGAGCAACACGUCCUCACUGUGCUGGCGUGCUCGCCCGGGGGUGUGGCUGCUCGCGAGGCUGCGAAUAAAAAGCGACGCUCGUUAGCGAUGAGCGGCCGGCUGCGCACGACGCGCAGUGUGGCUCCAAUUUCUAGUUCGCGUCAGAAAAUGUGCAUCAUUUUUGCGGCUUCUUUCGCUGGUGUUUAACUUCCUGCGAAUGUCGCAGCGUACAUUCGACACCUUGCUGGAACUACAGGCAAGACGCGAAUUACAGGCCGGCAGUCUGCCAUGGUGGCAUGUACUUGGCAUUUGGCGCGACGCAGAAGGACGCCAGAAUAAAACAUAUGAAGCAUAACUAGAGUGCACUAGAAGAGACCUAAUUUUCUGCGCGCGGCUGAAUGGUUUAGCAGUUUUGCGACCACGGCCGCCCGACCUAAAAAUCGAGCAGCGAGCGGCUUGCCCAAAAGCAGUCGCGUUUCCAUAAAAGCGAGCAUUGGUGACCGCUGUUCCUCACCGGUGUGCAUGGGCCUUUGUUAGCCGACAAACACUCCCCACGCUCGCAAAGCCUCGGCUACAGCGAUACGCUCGGCCUCGUGGCCUUCUACGCGCGGCGCUCGUUUGCCAUGAUGUCUGCAUUUACCGUUGAAAUUUCACGUUAAAUAUCUCGAAUCGAUUGUGACAGGAUUUUUUUUUAAACGACGGUGCGUCGAAAUGUGACUGCCUUCGACUUCGUUAUAUUUUCAGUGGGAAUAAUACAAAAUAUUUGUAAUGCCUAAAAAAAUCAAUCUACAUAUUUGUAAAACACCCUCUAACUUUCUCACCGAAUGUUUGUCCCUACUUUCAAGACCCGUGAUAUGGAUACAAUAAUUUUGACGAAUUAUGAACCUUUACAGAGUAAAUGAAAAAGAUGCGUGGUGGUCGGUAAUAAAGUGGCCAACGACGUGCAUUUAUUGGACAAUCAAACCGAGGUCAAAAUAGCUUUGAACCCCUGCCAUGUGCUACUUCGUUCUCUGUAGACAAAGAAAUACUUGCGGAUCUUUGUGCAAAAUGAAUAUGCAGCAAGAGCGCCGUUGUUUUGUUUUGAGAUGAAAGCUUACGUUACCGUUUCCGUACAUUUCAAUUCCUUUUGUACACUUGCCGAGUUGUCCAUUCCUUCUUUGAAAUGUGCGUGUGAAAGUUUGCUACUUCAUGCUAACAUCUUUUGGGCCACUGAUUUUCGAACAGUUUUUUUUCUGUAAUUGUGUUAGUAUUCAGACAUUAGGUGAAUACUCAAAGAGGGUAAUGAUAUUUUACAAAAAUUACGAACAAAUACUCACAACAUGCAUCACGUUUUCCUCCUUUUUCUACUGACAUCACUACAACACUAGUUUGCCCAAAAUCAUCGUUAUUGUCAUCUUCCUUCAUGGAAAUUCUAUUUUUGUAUUUAUUGCUCCGAAGCCGAGCGAUUGCAAUGCAACUUGACGAAGUUUCACUGUUAUGAACCGUCGAAAAAUAUUGUUGAGUUGGUUGUUUUACUUUCUAUCUUGUCUUUAGAUGACACAAAUGUCUAUUUAUUGUCGUUAUUUAUUUAUAAGUACUGCCGUGAGUUUCGCGCAGUUCUACUGUUCUGGACUGGGAACAUUGUGAUAAAACUUGCUUUGAAUAAACCAUGUCUCAAUUAAUGCGUCAUUUCACUUGCGUCCUCUUUGACAAAAUAGAAUUGCCUGUAACUAUGCUACAUUGUACAGGUGAGAAAGUAACCUACUAGGCCCCAAUAAAAAAAAUAAUAAGCUGCA